UACGGAGGGUGCAAGCGUUAAUCGGAAUUACUGGGCGUAAAGCGUGCGCAGGCGGUUUGUUAAGUCCGCUGUGAAAUCCCCGAGCUCAACUUGGGAAUUGCAGUGGAUACUGGCAAGCUGGAGUAUGGUAGAGGAAGGUGGAAUUCCCGGUGUAGCAGUGAAAUGCGUAGAGAUCGGGAGGAACACCAGUGGCGAAGGCGGCCUUCUGGACCAAUACUGACGCUAAUGCACGAAAGCGUGGGGAGCAAACAGG
rnacentral:rRNA from 1 species